AAUGGACGAAAGUCUGACGCAGCGACGCCGCGUGGGUGAUGAAGGCCUUCGGGUUGUAAAGCCCUUUUUGCAGGGACGAAAAAAAUGACGGUACCUGUAGAAUAAGCACCGGCUAACUCCGUGCCAGCAGCCGCGGUAAUACGGAGGGUGCAAGCGUUACUCGGAAUCACUGGGUGUAAAGGGCGCGUAGGCGGCUCGAUAAGUUUGGUGUGAAAUCCCACGGCUCAACUGUGGAACUGCACUGAAUACUGUCGGGCUAGAGUGCAGGAGGGGAGGGUGGAAUUCAUGGUGUAGAGGUGAAAUUCGUAGAUAUCAUGAGGAACACCAGCGGCGAAGGCGGCCCUCUGGACUGUAACUGACGCUAGGGCGCGAAAGCGUGGGGAGCAAA
rnacentral:rRNA from 1 species